AUUGAACGCUGGCGGCAUGCUUUACACAUGCAAGUCGAACGGCAGCACGGGCUUCGGCCUGGUGGCGAGUGGCGAACGGGUGAGUAAUAUAUCGGAACGUACCCAGAAGUGGGGGAUAACGUAGCGAAAGUUACGCUAAUACCGCAUACGAUCUAUGGAUGAAAGCAGGGGACCGCAAGGCCUUGUGCUCCUGGAGCGGCCGAUAUCUGAUUAGCUAGUUGGUGAGGUAAAGGCCCACCAAGGCGACGAUCAGUAGCUGGUCUGAGAGGACGACCAGCCACACUGGAACUGAGACACGGUCCAGACUCCUACGGGAGGCAGCAGUGGGGAAUUUUGGACAAUGGGCGCAAGCCUGAUCCAGCAAUGCCGCGUGAGUGAAGAAGGCCUUCGGGUUGUAAAGCUCUUUUGUCAGGGAAGAAACGGUAGAGGCUAAUAUCCUUUGCUAAUGACGGUACCUGAAGAAUAAGCACCGGCUAACUACGUG
rnacentral:rRNA from 1 species